rnacentral:rRNA from 1 species
UGGGGAAUAUUGGGCAAUGGGCGCAAGCCUGACCCAGCAACGCCGCGUGAAGGAAGAAGGCCCUCGGGUUGUAAACUUCUUUUGUCAGGGACGAAGCAAGUGACGGUACCUGACGAAUAAGCCACGGCUAACUACGUGCCAGCAGCCGCGGUAAUACGUAGGUGGCAAGCGUUAUCCGGAUUUACUGGGUGUAAAGGGCGUGUAGGCGGGACUGCAAGUCAGAUGUGAAAACCAUGGGCUCAACCCAUGGCCUGCAUUUGAAACUGUAGUUCUUGAGUGUUGGAGAGGCAGGCGGAAUUCCGUGUGUAGCGGUGAAAUGCGUAGAUAUACGGAGGAACACCAGUGGCGAAGGCGGCCUGCUGGACAAUAACUGACGCUGAGGCGCGAAAGCGUGGGGAGCAAACAGGAUUAGAUACC